rnacentral:piRNA from 1 species
UACCUAGCAACAGCAAGUUAACAAUCC